rnacentral:rRNA from 1 species
UGAGGGAAAGUUGAAAAGAACUUUGAAGAGAGAGUUCAAAAGGGCGUGAAACCGCUUAGAAGAAAACGGACGGAACCGUCUGACGCCCUCGGGAAUCAGUCGAACGACGCGCGAACGCGUCUCGAUCGUCGGAGCGUAAAAGUCCGGCUCGAGGCGUCUAGUAGUCGCGUUCGUAAGGCGCAUUUCUCGAGGGUUAGCGCCGCGACCGAUGCGAACGGCCGACGACGCCGUCGAGUUGAGGUCGAACGCCCUUCGCGGGUAUUCGUAACCAGCUCGUUCGGUUCGAUCGUUGGAUCUUAAAAAAAGGCAUCGAGCGAAUACUUAAUAAAUACGUCGGCGUAAAACGCUCGACGAGCGGCGGAGACUCGGCCAGUCGUUCGAUACCUGCUCGCAGGUGCUCGUUCGGCGCGAGGUCGUUUCCCGAUGUCGCCGUCGACGCUACCGACGUUUAGGCGUCCGCGGCGUCCGAGUCGGCCACCCGUCCGACCCGUCUUGAAACACGGACCAAGGAGUCUAACGUACGCGCGAGUUAAUGGGCGGAAAACCCAUAAGCGUAAUAAAAGUAAAAGUCGUCUAAAGACGGCCGAGGUACGAUCCUAGACUACGCGUCUAGGCGCAGUACCGUCCCGUCCCGACCGCACGUCGGUAGGGCGGAGAUUGAGCGCAUACGUUGGGACCCGAAAGAUGGUGAACUAUGCCUGAGCAGAGCGAAGCCAGAGGAAACUCUGGUGGAGGUUCGUAGCGGUUCUGACGUGCAAAUCGAUCGUYWKACUUGGGUAUAGGGGCGAAAGACU